GCCAGACUCCUACGGGAGGCAGCAGUGAGGAAUAUUGGUCAAUGGGCGAGAGCCUGAACCAGCCAAGUCGCGUGAGGGAGUACUGCCCUAUGAGUUGUAAACCUCUUUUGUCGGGGAGCAAAAGCCGGACGUGUCCGUCUGUGAGAGUACCCGAAGAAAAAGCAUCGGCUAACUCCGUGCCAGCAGCCGCGGUAAUACGGAGGAUGCGAGCGUUAUCCGGAUUUAUUGGGUUUAAAGGGUGCGCAGGCGGAUUUUUAAGUCAGGGGUCAAAUCGUGGGGCUCAACCCCAUCCAGCCGUUGAAACUGGGGAUCUAGAGUGUGCGAGAGGUAUGCGGAAUGCGUGGUGUAGCGGUGAAAUGCACAGAUAUCACGCAGAACCCCGAUUGCGAAGGCAGCAUACCGGUGCACAACUGACGCUCAUGCACGAAAGUGUGGGUAUCGAACAGGAUUAGAUACCCGGG
rnacentral:rRNA from 1 species